GUCUGUUGUUCUCAUCCAGGCCCAGAUGCAGAAGGCCUGAGGUAGCUGCGGGCUUGGGCACCGAAGAGAAGAGAUGUCUGGACACAAGGUGCUACCAGGCAGCUUCCUCAUAGAGCUGGGCCAGGUGAGACCAGCUGCCCCUGGGACCUCGGCAGGGUAGACUUUUCUCUGAUGGUGGUAGAGGCACCUGAGACCCAGGCAGCUUUGUGGGUACCUGUCCAGGCUCUCUGGGCAAUGCGACCAAACUUCUGCUCUGCUGGGAGACACCACAAGCAGGAGGCCGGUGUGGUUCCACCCUGAGCCCACAGGAAGCUUACCUGGCAGACACGUAACCCAGCCUGUUCUCCAUGGGCGCGGGGCUACUGCUGAGGAACGGUACUCCAGCUGGAAAAGUGGGAAGAAAUCAUCCAGUUGCAGAAGCCAGCCCCAGCAGGCCGCCUCCCAGCUCACCAGCACGCCUCCUGCCUCCCACGGACAACACAACAGCACAGGCUUCAGUGGUUGCAGAUGGUGCAGACAGGAAGCUGGCAGAGGGGAGAAAGCCUCUCCAGGGAGCGGGCAAGGAAGGAGGAGGAGAUCGCCCUCUGCCCUGCUGCGGACCAGAGCGGCAGAGGGAGGACACCUCUCAGAAGGCACAGGAAGGUCCGCGUGCAUUCAGGUAGCUCCGGACCCUUUCUGCCCUAUGUGCUGGCAAACCCCCACGGGCUCCCUCCUCCCGGGUGCUCCUGAGGGUCUGUUCCAGACACAGGCUCCCACAAACCCACCCAUGCAUGGCUGAAGGAGAGAGGCUACCCCUUGGCCCCCCGUAAGCCCCUCCCUCUCCACGGAUACCAUGGUCCUCGCCCUGCCGGCACUGCCACUCAUAGUGAGGCAGGGGGCAGGAUUCGGAGCCUGCACUGCUCACGUCGUCCGUGUCGCUGAGAUCAAAUGUCACCCCCUUCUUGGGGGUCUGUCGCCGAGUGUCCUCAUCUAAAGCCUGAGGGGUACAAGCAGCAGUGAGUACUGGCGCUUGCCCUGUGUCUUCUGUCCCCUGUCCAUAUGAUGGCUGGGGCCUCUCUGGGACCUGAAGUUCUGGGAGAAGGACACAUGCAGGCUUCCUUGUAGCAUGGGAGAGGGGAGGGAGGUGGGGGCUUAGAGGACACAGGACCAGAGCCCCUGUCCUGCAGCAAACUCUCCUGCCACCUCCAUGCCUCCAGCAUCCAGAGCAACAUGGAUGAGGCCACAGAGAAGGAAGGAAAGCCUAGAUGUGUCCAUUCCCGACCCACUGCUGACCCCAGGGCCCAGCUCUCCUCAGGAACCACAGCAGGGGCCAGGGCCUCUCGAGAAGCUGCAGCACAAGGCCCUGGGUCUGCUUAGGACCUCUGCGCACAGCCGGCCUCAGCAACCUCCAAGCCACUGCUCUCUCGCCAGCCCACAAGCCCCAGCUCCCAGCAUGGGACCGAAGAACCACCCGCAGCCCAGGAACAGAGGAGGGAGGCUGCAUCGCACCUCCUCCCGGAGAGAGGACUCCAGCUGAUUCAGCUUCUCCUCCUUCUUCUUCAGCAGGUCGUGGCCCUUCCGCAUAGCUGACUUCAUUUCAUCCAGGAAGUGAAGAGGACAAUCACCUCUGGUUACCCUGAGGACCGAGAAAGCAUCAUGCGCAGUGCACUGCCACGUCAACAUCAGGGGCUCUCAUCCUCCCGGACAAGGAUAAUCUGCAGCCCCUGUCCCGUGGCCCCAGGGCUAAUGUGACCACACUGUGGGGAACCCACAAUCACUGGAGGCGACUGGUCCUGCCCCCGACCCAGGGCCCCGCAGGACCAGCGGGCUCCUCUCCAGGCUCCCAACCUCCUCCAGGUCCUGGCGCGCGUCCUCCAGGGCCUUGGUGCCCGGGGGGUCCUUGGUGGCCUCCGGAGCACGGGCCAGCUCCCGGCGCCAGUGCUGCUGUGCGGCCUUCAGAGCCGACUGCCGCCGCCGCAUGGAGCGCGUCUGCCGUACCAGGAACUCCUUGGCACUGCGGAGAGCCAUUCCCUCGGCAGAGAGCGCCUCCACCUGGGACUCCAGCGCCUCCACCUGGGACUCCAGCUCCGCCCUGCGGGCCCGAAGCUCAUCCAGGAGUCUUCGGAGCUGUCGGUUGGACUCCAACAGGUGCGUGUGCUCCUUCUUUGCCUCCUCCAAGUGCUGGUAGCUGGCUGUGACCUCCUGAAAAGACAGAAGCACCUGGAGACACAUGGGACAAAGGCAGGCGGCGGCAGCACGGGAGCGAGCAUGGACCUCAAGCCCCGUGAAGUCGCUGUGCUGAGGGCAGGAGUCGUGUAGGAGGCUCUACCACCCUCCAUGGCCCCCGCCCACGGGGGUCCCCAGCUGGGCUCCUUCCAGGGUGCCGUGCUGUCCUCUUACCAACAGCAUUUGGAACCCUAAAGCUGGGGACAGAGAGGGUGAGCCAAAGGCAGGAUGUUGCGGGGAGAGAGGGAGGUAAGGUAAAGGGCACAGGGCCGAGGUGACGGGGGACAAGGGAGCCAGCCGAACCUCGCUCUCCAGCGCAGCCUGCCUCUGCGCAUGGAGGAGCUGCUGCUGCUCCUUUCGGGCUGUCUCCUCCUGCAGGGGAGGGAAAGAAGUGGGUGUCCAGGCACCCCAGCUCUAAGGGGCAGGAGGCUCUGAGCUCUCCUAGGGGAGCUACAACUCCAAGUUCUGGGGCUCCUGCUCUCUCACCUGGAGGCCCAGGUGAGCCAAUUUGGCCUUGACAUCUUUGGUUCUGGUUUCAAGUUCCACCUCUAAAUCUUGGAGUUUCCUUUCCUGCACAGAAACAGGUGGAGCAAAAGAUGUAGGUGUAGAGAGAGUGCAAGGCAUUAGCUGAGGGGACAGGAGGGAGCUCCAGAACCCCCUUUCCACAGCACACCCUCCAAGCUAGGCUCAGCCUCGUCCCGCUUGCCCUUGAGGCCCCCGUGAAAGCACCACCUUGUGUCUUCCCAGUGAGGGCAAGGAGAGACAAAGCACCCACCCCAGGGUCCUGGGGGGGGCUGACCUCCUCUAAUCCCAAGGAUGUUUGCUGGUCCAGAAAACAAAGGAGCACGUGUGCCCUGGCUGGAAAUGGCCUGUGAGAGACCCCCAUGCCUGAAGUUGUCCAGGCUCUGCUGGCCGUCUGCCCCCACCCCCACCUCUCCUGCAUGGAGGUGUCCGAGGCGGGCUCACCCACCCUGGUCCCCGGUGACCACGCAGAGCCCCCACCUGCUCCCGGUGCUGACGCCGCAAGUCCUCAAGCUGCCUGUCCUGCACCUGCCUCACAGCCUCCAGUUCUCGCUCGUGGGACCUACGCAGACGCUCCAGCUCCCCAGUCAGGUGGCCCAGCAGCUCCGCCCGCUGCUUCCUCUCCUGCCCGGGACAGAAGGCUGCUGGUGGGCAAUGGCAGUGGCCCUCACCCACCGAAAGCCACAGCCCCUCACGCUGGUAGACUUGGGUCAGGGAGGUCGAGGACCUCAGUGGCUCUCCAGGGCCAGCUCUUCGAGAAGAGGAGAGCACAGAGGAGCUCCCGGGCCUCCCUCAAGAAAGCCUGCACCCCUCUCUGCCACUGAAGUAGGCGCUGGUCUAAGACCUACCCCCUCCCCCUCCCCCAGUGGAAAUCUGCCUGUCCUGCUGUCCCUGUGUGCAGUUCCUCGAGGGAAGAGAGCUCAUUAAUAAGUUAUCACUA